rnacentral:rRNA from 1 species
GGGUUGUGAGGUUAAGCGAAUAAGCGUACACGGUGGAUGCCUAGGCAAUCAGAGGCGAUGAAGGACGUGCUAAUCUGCGAAAAGCGUCGGUAAGGUGAUAUGAACCGUUACACCCGACGAUAUCCGAAUGGGGAAACCCAGUAUCCAAUGGAUACUAUCAUUAACUGAAUCCAUAGGUUAAUGAGGCGAACCGGGAGAACUGAAACAUCUCAGUACCCCGAGGAAAAGAAAUCAACCGAGAUUCCCCUAGUAGCGGCGAGCGAACGGGGAGCAGCCCAGAGUCUUAAUCAAUAGCAGUGUCAGGAGAACGGUCUGGAAAGUCCGGCAGUAAAGGGUGAUAGCCCCGUAUCUGAAGAUGCUGUUAUUGUGAACUCGACGAGUAGGGCGGGACACGUGUUAUCCUGUCUGAAUAUGGGGGGACCAUCCUCCAAGGCUAAAUACUCCUGAUUGACCGAUAGUGAACCAGUACCGUGAGGGAAAGGCGAAAAGAACCCCGGCGAGGGGAGUGAAAAAGAACCUGAAACCGUGUACGUACAAGCAGUAGGAGCCUCUUUAUGGGGUGACUGCGUACCUUUUGUAUAAUGGGUCAGCGACUUAUAUUCUGUAGCAAGGUUAACCGCAUAGGGGAGCCGUAGGGAAACCGAGUCUUAACUGGGCGAAUGAGUUGCAGGGUAUAGACCCGAAACCCGGUGAUCUAUCCAUGGGCAGGUUGAAGGUUGGGUAACACUAACUGGAGGACCGAACCGACUAAUGUUGAAAAAUUAGCGGAUGACUUGUGGAUGGGGGUGAAAGGCCAAUCAAACCGGGAGAUAGCUGGUUCUCCCCGAAAGCUAUUUAGGUAGCGCCUCGUGAACUCAUCUUCGGGGGUAGAGCACUGUUUCGACUAGGGGGUCAUCCCGACUUACCAACUCGAUGCAAACUGCGAAUACCGAAGAAUGUUAUCACGGGAGACACACGGCGGGUGCUAACGUCCGUCGUGAAGAGGGAAACAACCCAGACCGCCAGCUAAGGUCCCAAAGUCAUGGUUAAGUGGGAAACGAAGUGGGAAGGCUCAGACAGCCAGGAUGUUGGCUUAGAAGCAGCCAUCAUUUAAAGAAAGCGUAAUAGCUCACUGGUCGAGUCGGCCCGCGCGGAAGAUGUAACGGGGCUAAACCAUGCACCGAAGCUGCGGCAGCGACACAAUGUGUUGUUGGGUAGGGGAGCGUUCUGUAAGCCUGCGAAGGUGUACUGUGAGGUAUGCUGGAGGUAUCAGAAGUGCGAAUGCUGACAUAAGUAACGAUAAUGCGGGUGAAAAACCCGCACGCCGGAAGACCAAGGGUUCCUGUCCAACGUUAAUCGGGGCAGGGUGAGUCGACCCCUAAGGCGAGGCUGAAAAGCGUAGUCGAUGGGAAACGGGUUAAUAUUCCCGUACUGGUGGUAACUGCGAUGGGGGAACGGAGAAGGCUAGGUUGUCCGGGCGACGGUCGUCCCGGUUCAAGCAGGUAGGCAGAGUGAUUAGGCAAAUCCGGUCACUUAAUGCUGAGAUGUGAUGACGAGCCACUAAGGUGGUGAAGCAAUUGAUGCCCCGCUUCCAGGAAAAGCCUCUAAGCUUCAGGUUACCAACAAUCGUACCCCAAACCGACACAGGUGGUCAGGUAGAGAAUACUCAGGCGCUUGAGAGAACUCGGGUGAAGGAACUAGGCAAAAUGGUGCCGUAACUUCGGGAGAAGGCACGCUGGCGGUAGGUAAAGUCCCUUGCGGACGGCGCCCAAGCCAGUCGAAGAUACCAGCUGGCUGCAACUGUUUAUUAAAAACACAGCACUGUGCAAACACGAAAGUGGACGUAUACGGUGUGACGCCUGCCCGGUGCUGGAAGGUUAAUUGAUGGGGUUAGCGCAAGCGAAGCUCCUGAUCGAAGCCCCAGUAAACGGCGGCCGUAACUAUAACGGUCCUAAGGUAGCGAAAUUCCUUGUCGGGUAAGUUCCGACCUGCACGAAUGGCGUAAUGAUGGCCAGGCUGUCUCCACCCGAGACUCAGUGAAAUUGAACUCGCUGUGAAGAUGCAGUGUACCCGCGGCAAGACGGAAAGACCCCGUGAACCUUUACUAUAGCUUGACACUGAACAUUGAGCCUUGAUGUGUAGGAUAGGUGGGAGGCUUUGAAGUGUGGACGCCAGUCUGCAUGGAGCCAACCUUGAAAUACCACCCUUUAACGUUUGAUGUUCUAACCUAGGCCCAUAAACUGGGUCGGGGACCGUGUCUGGUGGGUAGUUUGACUGGGGCGGUCUCCUCCUAAAGAGUAACGGAGGAGCACGAAGGUUGGCUAAGCAUGGUCGGACAUCAUGCGGUUAGUGCAAAGGCAUAAGCCAGCUUGACUGCGAGAGUGACGGCUCGAGCAGGUACGAAAGUAGGUCUUAGUGAUCCGGUGGUUCUGAAUGGAAGGGCCAUCGCUCAACGGAUAAAAGGUACUCCGGGGAUAACAGGCUGAUACCGCCCAAGAGUUCAUAUCGACGGCGGUGUUUGGCACCUCGAUGUCGGCUCAUCACAUCCUGGGGCUGAAGUAGGUCCCAAGGGUAUGGCUGUUCGCCAUUUAAAGUGGUACGCGAGCUGGGUUUAGAACGUCGUGAGACAGUUCGGUCCCUAUCUGCCGUGGGCGUUGGAAGAUUGAGAGGGGUUGCUCCUAGUACGAGAGGACCGGAGUGAACGCACCACUGGUGUUCGGGUUGUCAUGCCAAUGGCAUUGCCCGGUAGCUAAGUGCGGAAGAGAUAACCGCUGAAAGCAUCUAAGCGGGAAACUUGCCUCGAGAUGAGUCUUCCCUGUCGCUUUAAGCGACCUAAAGGAACGUUUAAGACUAAGACGUUGAUAGGCUGGGUGUGUAAGCGUAGUGAUACGUUGAGCUAACCAGUACUAAUGAACCGUGAGGCUUAACCUGACAACACCGAAAGUGUUUUG